UAGGUACAUGCUGGCUGUUUAAAAUGAAUUAGUCAGACAUUUGGUAACAGUAGCUUAAGGUUAUUAAGUGCAGUAAUCGUUGUCGCUUUAGCUUCGGGCCCUAGGUAUGAUUACAUUUGAACAGGCUGUCUAACUAGUCAUAUCCUACAGUCGAUUAGCAGUUAGGUCACAUAUCAGACAUUGUGUCAGUCGCUAGGUAAGUUGCUUUAAUGUGAUGGGUUA